rnacentral:rRNA from 1 species
UACGAAGGGGGCGAGCGUUGUUCGGAUUUACUGGGCGUAAAGGGCGCGCAGGCGGCGGACCAAGUCAGGCGUGAAAGCCCCGGGCUUAACCUGGGAAUGGCGUCUGGGACUGGUAUGCUAGAGUUCGGGAGAGGAGAGUGGAAUUCCCAGUGUAGAGGUGAAAUUCGUAGAUAUUGGGAAGAACACCGGUGGCGAAGGCGGCUUCCUGGCCUGUUCUUGACGCUGAGGCGCGAAAGCUAGGGGAGCAAACGGG